AGAAACUGGCAUUCUAUUUAUCCAUGGACAGAAAAGCUUUCUUCCUGUUCUGCUGGAAUUGUCUCUGAUUUUUGUCCCGUGGACUGCAAGCAUCUGACAUCACAUCCCGGAUGUGGGGCCAGUCACCUAAUCUCAGCCCUCCAGCACAACAAGUUAAGCUGCAUCCGAUAAAUUAGACUGUAGUCCGUGAAACUUUAUGCCAGGGGUAAGUAACCUUUUUCAGCCGUGGGCCAGUCCACCCUCCCUCAGACCAUGUGGUGGGCCGGACUAUUUUUUUGGGGGGGGGAGUGAAUGAAUUCCUAUGCCCCACAAAUAACCCAGACAUGCAUUUAAAUAAAAGCACACAUUCUUGUUGUUGUUGUUUAGUCGUUUAGUCGUGUCCGACUCUUUGUGACCCCAUGGACCAGAGCACGCCAGGCACUCCUGUCUUCCACUGCCUCCCGCAGCCUGGUCAAACUCAUGCUGGUAGCUUUGAGAACACUGUCCAACCAUCUCGUCCUCUGUCGUCUCCUUCUCCUUGUGCCCUCCAUCUUUCCCAACAUCAGGGUCUUUUCCAGGGAGUCUUCUCUUCUCAUGAGGUGGCCAAAGUAUUGGAGCCUCAGCUUCAGAAUCUGUCCUUCCAGUGAGCACUCAGGGCUGAUUUCCUUUGAUCUUGCAGUCCAUGGGACUCUCAAGAGUCUCCUCCAGCACCAUAAUUCAAAUGCAUCAAUUCUUUGGUGAUCAGCCUUCUUGAUGGUCCAGCUCUCACUUCCAUACAUCACUACUGGGAAAACCAUAGCUUUAACUAUACGGGCCUUUGUUGGCAAGGUGAUGUCUCUGCUUUUUAAGAUGCUAGGAGGUGCUACAGUGGUACCUCGGGUUAAGUACUUAAUUUGUUCCGGAGGUCCGAACUUAACCUGAAACUGUUCUUAACCUGAAGCACCACUUUAGCUAAUGGGGCCUCCUGCUGCUGCCGCGCCGCCGGAGCACGAUUUCUGUUCUCAUCCUGAAGCAAAGUUCUUAACCUGAAGCACUAUUUCUGGGUUAGCGGAGUCUGUAACCUGAAGUGUAUGUAACCUGAAGCAUAUGUAACCCGAGGUACCACUGUACUCAUGUAAAAACAUGCUGAUUCCCGGACCAUCCACAGGCCGGAUUGAGAAGGUGAUUGGGCCGCAUCCGGCCCCCGGGCCUUAGGUUGCCUACCCCUGCUUUAUGCUGUAGCAAAACUGUUGAGGCAGCUGCUCUGACAACUGAGCCACAGAUCAGGUUUAGUUCCCUUUAGAUGAGAGAGCACUGGAGUUUAAGGGUGUUCUGUACCAUGUUUGCUUUACAAAUAGCACAAGGAGAAGCACACGUAAACAGGCCCUCCUCUCGCUGGCAGCAGAUCCCGCGGCCUUUACAAUGGAUUCCCAAAGCAGCCUUACGCAGGUCUCCCAGUUCCAUCUAACUCCAGCCAGAAACUCUCCACUCUCAACCUAACAAAUAAUUGCUCUUUUCCGCACCUCCUGCAGAGCAAUAGUUACCAAUACUUACCCCCAGCUGGUGGAAUUACCCAUGCGGGAUACUUCCACAGCCAUAAAAGGAACAGUACUUUUGCCAAGUUCAUGGCUCCAAUCCGCUCACUGUAAUCAGAAAGCAAAACUCACAUUAUAUGUCCAGAAAGAAGUCUAUGUACUCCCACAGCAAAGGACCAGGGAGACAGGAACUCAGGGUGGGUGAAUCUGUCCAUUUUGGUUUUUCUCAUUUUUCCAAUCUGAAGCUCAGUUCUCCACAUAAGUUUGUGAUUCUACUUUUUCAAAAAGUCCUUGUGAAUAUCUGCAUUUUAGUGCAAUUUUCUCCUAUGUGUGUAAUGUUGCCUAAUAUGCACAUUGCAAAUAAAUUUUCCCACAUGCAUUUUUUUCUAUGCUAUUUUCACUAAUUUUCACUUUGCCCCAGUAUGUGCCAUUUUUUUUGGUGCACACUGCUAUAUUGCAAAACUCGGGACAAAUUUGGAAGAAUGGCAAUGUUUCAGUUAGCAUACAGUUUGGGAAAAUGCAAACCAAAUGGCCUUUAAAUGUGAACUAAAUAAUUAAGACGAUAUAGUCUUUAAUACAGAGUGGAAAUCAUAUGUUGUAUAUUUUCAGAAUUAUUGUAAACAGAUUUAAUCAUUAGCAGGACUGAUGUAAAGACGUGCAGUAACAUAAUAAAUAUUGAAUUAAAGGAGAUAAAUAAUAAUUAGGUUUGACUUGGAAAAGCAGUAAAAGUAUUGUAAACAUAAGCAACCGCGGAACGAGGGGGAAGGAGGUCAAAAUAAGAUAUUGUGGAAAAUGUUGUGUUUGUUUAUUGUAAAAUGAAAAUUAUAAAUAAAACAUUAAAAAUAAAAGUGAACUAAAUUGAUGUUCUCCCCCUGGUGUGCAAAAGCAAAGCAAAAGCAUCCUGUGCCCUUUUAAAAUGUGGUUCUUUUUUUGGGGGGGUGUUGUUUGUAUUUUGAUUAUAUUGUGGUUUUAUAUUUUGAUUAAAUAAACUCACUGGAACUCAGUUCCAGCAACUCUCAGGUGGGCUCCACUGCCAUUAUUAGAAAACAAGACAGGCAUUCAUGAUAAGUUCCGGCACCUCUUUUUUCUAGAAAAAUAGCACUGGUUCUCCCCGAUCCACCAUCAUUGAGAGGUUUCUCACAGGGCACACUGGUGUGGUGUUGUGACUGAGAGCAGGAGCUAUCCCUGCAGUUCAGAUGUCACCUAUCCCAAUAACUCACCACAUGGACUUAGGCAAGAGCCACAUGCCAGCAACAACAAGAAACAAGCAGAUUAGGAAUCAGGAAUAAAACUACUUGCUUCGCUUUAGGAAAAGGAGCAGUCAGAGAAAAUGGAAAGUGUGCCAUUGCUCUUAACACUUAUCUAUCUCACUCAGGAAGUAUAAAGCAAAUCUCAGAGAGCAAAUCUCACCUACUUACAUUUGUUUCUCCGUGCUUUUCGAUACAGUGGUACCUCGGGUUAAGAACUUAAUUCGUUCCGGAGGUCCAUACUUAACCUGAAACUGUUCUUAACCUGAAGCACCACUUUAGCUAAUGGGGUCUCCCACUGCCGCAACGCUGACGCUGCGCGAUUUCUGUUCUCAUCCUGAAGCAAAGUUCUUAACCCGAGGUACUAUUUCUGGGUUAGCAGAGUCUGUAACCUGAAGCGUAUGUAACCCGAGGUGCCACUGUACUCUUAAGCAGGGGUCGGCAAACUAAGGGUCGCAGGCCGGAUCAGGCCCAAUUGCCUUCAGGAUCCGGCCCGCGGACUGUCCGUAGAUCGGUGUGGGGAUUUUGUUCGUUUGGGCUGCGCCAUUCCCCCCCUGCGCCAUUCCAUUCAACCCCUCCCUCUCACACACCGCGACGCCGACACCUCUCCCUCCCUCCUCCCAGCUUCUCCCCGCCCUGCCUAGAGGAGGAAGGGGGCUGGGUUGUGCUGGCUGAGCGCCAUUUUAAGCAGCCCUUCUCCGGCCCGCCACAAGGUCUGAGGGACAGUGGACCGGCCCGCUGCUAAAAAAAAUUGCCAACUCCUGCUCUUAACAAAUAGCGUGAACCAAGGCCAGUCUGUUUAUUUUUUGCUUUGCUUUCCUCUACAAAGUCACAAAAUUCAACCACUGAAAGAAGAAGAAACAUUCCGGAGGUGGAACAUUUUAUGAAUACAUUCUUGACUCAGAGAGGAAGUUUUAAGUCAUCCUUGCUGCUAAGUCCCUUUGGUACACAAGUUUCUUCCACGGAAAAUAACCAGAAGUGACCAGGGGGCGGUAGUGGGGGUGGCGGAAAAUGUGCUAGAAUUCUUCUUGCUCUAGAGGCAUACAAAAUAUUUCAACAGGGGAAGAGCACGAGCACAGAUUAACCACAGCAGUUAUCUGAAUGCAGAAUGACUUUCAGGAAGUCGCACAAGAAUUGCUGCAAUGUGUCUUUUGAAAACACUCCAUAAGCAUGGCUUCUAAUAAAACUAGCAGCAACCUAUGCCUGGGUAGUCCUUCCUGUGUGGCUUUCCCCUCCCACCCUGUGCCACAACACUGAGCCCAGCUGAUAAAAGUAAAAAAAAACCUAGUCCUUUCCCCUUAUGCAUAGCUGUCAACCGUCUCUUAUUUGGUGGGAAAGUCCCUUAUCCCAGCGCUGUGUCCCGCUGCUGUCCCUUAUUGAUGAUGUCCCUUAAAUUUCCUGGGUUUCAAAGGAAGCAGUUCCUCUCCCUCCUUCCCUGCCGGCCAGGGAGGAGGAAGGCUCCAACUGUGUUGCUUGGCUGCGUUGCUCACCCAAUAAGGAGUCUAAGAACGACUGGGGGGUGGAGCUUGCAUGCCUUGUGCCAGUCAAAUCGGCCGCGUUGCCUGGGGACUCGCCUUUGCUCAGCGCUUCCCAGCGGAGAGGUAACGGUGGUUUUCCUUGCUGCACCCCCUUUGCCGGGUUGCUGUGCUGUGGGAAUCACCGCUUGAGGCUUCGUUUGGCUGCUGGAUGGGCUUUCUGCCUUUGGCUCGGAGGGGCUCAGAAGCUGAGCAUACCUGUGCUUGGAAAAUCCCUUAUUCUGGCUGCUGAUCCCUUAUUUUCGAGGCUGCUGAUCCCUUAUUUUCAAAUCUGUAAGUUGACAGCUAUGCCCUUAUGGGGUACCCAAGAGCCCAUACAGAGUCCUUUUGUAGGUUCUCUAUCGGUAGGAGAAAAUAACAGAGGCCAACCAGAGAAUAUUGAGAAGCAAAGCAGCUAGUAAGCCUGAUCUUUAUUGAACUGUUGCAACAGGGUGCUCCCCUCACCCGCAGGAGAGGAGGAGGACCCCGAACAAAGGCAUGCCCGCCCUUAUAUAGAUAUUUUAAAUUGCCUGCCCUGGAGUCCAAGACCACCCCCAGAAACAUCAUACCUACAUCACAGAAAAGGCGGUCUACAACAGAAAUCUGAGUGCAUUGUUUAUCUCCUAUCUGGCAAGUUACCUGAUUGCAUUGGGUUUUGGCCACUCUUUUGUUAUUAUAACUACUUAAUUCCUGAAUCUAGGUCACAGGCUCACACCCUGUUCAUAUCUUGAAUGUGCCCUUAAGACAGGAUUUGUGAGGACAGGAUUUGUGAGGAAAGAGACAAUGGGGAGGUUUCCCACUUUGACCUUGCAGAGAAAUAUUUGAGGUCAGUUUGUUCAGGACGUAAUCUGUGGGGUUUCAGAAAUGUGGUUUAUAUAUACAGUUAUGAACAUUUAAUUUUUUUAUAUAUGAAAAAAUUAUUAUAACACCAGGCUACGUGAGCAAAGCAAUGUGCCAGACACAAAGCAGCUAUCCCACGACUAGGGGCAUCGGUUGCUCAGCGGAGGAACAAGAAUUACAUAGGAUAGGAAUGAGAGUCUGGAAGCUAAACUGCAUGCUAAGUUACGCUUUUUAGAAGCUGCUCUUCAUACUGCCACUCUUAUCAGGUGCAGAAAGCAGCUGAUCAGCAGCUGCUGCUAGAGAGGAGAGGCGAUUCAACAGCAAAUAGCAGCUUCUCUUCCAUUCCCCUUAACACAAUGUACUUCACAUAACAUGCUCUGUUGACCCUGAGCCAGGGCACCUGACCUGCAGACCUGACUUCUGCAAAGUACAGGGAGUGUUGUUAGAGGAUGGGACAGUGGGCCUGAGAUCCAGGUCCUUGUCACCAGGCCUUCGUGCCAGAUUCCAGUCUCCUUUCCCCUUUCCCUCCCCUUUCAAAAGGUGUUUUUGUUGUUACAUUGCUUACACGAAUGAUAGGAAACCCAGUCUCUUUCAUAUGUGGUGGACUUGUAAAAGGGUAGAGACAUCACCUUGCCAACAAACGUCUGUAUAGUAAAAGCUAUGGUUUUCCCAGUAGUGAUGUAUGGAAGUGAAAGCUGGACCAUAAAGAAGGCUGAUCACCGAAUAAUUGAUGCUUUUGAAUUAUGAUGCUGGAGGAGACUCUUGAGAGUCCCAUGGACUGCAAGAAGAUCAGACCUAUCCAUUCUUAAGAAAAUCAGCCCUGAGUGCUCACUGGAAGGACAGAUCCUGAAGCUGAGGCUCCAAUACUUUGGCCACCUCAUGAGAAGAGAAGACUCCCUGGAAAAGACCCUGAUGUUGGGAAAGAUGGAGGGCACAAGGAGAAGGGGACGACAGAGGACGAGAUGGUUGGACAGUGUUCUCGAAGUUACCAGCAUGAGUUUGACCAAACUGCGGGAGGCAGUGGAAGACAGAAGUGCCUGGUGUGCUCUGGUCCAUGGGGUCACGACGAGUCAGACACGACUAAACCACUAAACAACAACAACAAAAGAGUAUUGGGAAAUUAUCCUUAAUGAAUUGAAAAAAAUGUUUAAAAGUACAGUGGGUGCUCGGGUUGCAAACGUGAUCUGUGUAGGAUGCACGUUUGCAAGCCGCAGCAGCACAUCUGCGCAAGCGCAGGUUGCGAUUUGGUGCUUCUGCGCAUGCACAAAGCACAAUUUAGCACUUUUGCGCAUGCGCGACUGCCGAAACCCGGAAGUAACCCAUUCCAUUACUUUCGGGUUUCAGCGGUCCAUAACCCAAAAAAAACGCAACCUCAAGCGUCUGUAACCUGAGGUAUGACUGUACUUUCCCCCAAAACCAGAGUCCUUUCUGUAGGGGAUAAUUCAGACUGAAAUUCCCAGGUGUCAAAAAAGGUUAUUUAUGUAUGCCACUACUGCGGCCAGUGUUUUGUUAGCCCAAAAAUGGAAAACGAGCGAGGUCCCAAACAAAGAAGAAUGGCAACUUAAGCUGACAGAAUAUGCACAACUCACAGACUUAACACAGAGUAACAGAACAAGCAUACGUUUAAAGAAGAUUGGAAAACGUUUAUUGAAUAUAUGUGAAAUAACUGUGUACAGCUAAAAAUGCUGGCAGCAUUAAGAUAAAUCUGACGGUGUAAAUAUGCACCUGUACUUUAAGAUCCACAGAUAGAUGUGGCGGAGGGAGGAAACUUGGCCAAAAAUCUGAAAACGCUGGCAGCAUUAAGAUAAAUUCAGCAGUGUAAACAAGUUAUGAUAGAUGCAAUAAUGGAAUACUGAAGGGUAUAGUUCUUGUAAAAUAUGCAGGAAUUUAUGUAAAAUGAACCAUGGAAAGAGAAGAAGGGAACUCAUUGAUAUCUUAUAGGUGUAAAAUGAGUAUUUUAAAUGGUAAAACAGAAAAUUUAACAAACAUACACACAUUUAUAUCCCGCCCAUCUGGCUGGGUUUCCCCAGCCACUCUCUCUCUCUAUAUACCCAGUUUCUUGUGACACACCACUCAACUGCCCUGAAUUAAACAGGAUUGACAGCCCCAGUUUUUGUUUGAUGUCCAUGAUGUUUUAUGGUGUUUUUAAGUCGCAUUUUAAUCAAUGUUUUGUAUUUGCUGUUAGCCACCCUGAGCCCGGUUUUUAAACCGGGAAGGGCGGGGUAAAAAUAUAUAUUUUUUACUAUUAUUAUUAUUAUGUCCUGCUUUUGCCUCUUUACCUCUUUCUCCUCCUCUAGGACAGCCUACCAUAGGCUCCACCGCCAUUGUGACCAACCUCUGCUGCUGCCGUAUACCUGGGAGCAGGCACAGUGCAUCAGGAAGCGCACUGCCGGACGAAGGAGCGCCACUUCCAGUAGCUCUAGCGAGGCCAAGAAGGCCAAACACAUGUGCACCCACCCACACCCCUAUGCCUGCCCCUCUGUCCUCUAUCUGGGCAAGCAAAAGGCGUUAUCAAGGACACAUCCUAGCUAAACGAAAACACCAAAGGAUAGUGCAAUGCAGGGUCAGUGAAAGGCACUUCCUGGGGAAAAGGGAUAUACAGUGGUACCUCGGCUUACAUACGCUUCAGGUUAUAUACGCUUCAGGUUACAGACUCCACUAACAGAAAUAGUGCUUCAGGUUAAGAACUUUGCUUCAGGAUGAGAACAGUAAUUGUGCUCCGACGGCGCGGCAGCAGCAGGAGGCCCCAUUAGCUAAAGUGGUGCUUCAGGUUAAGAACAGUUUCAGGUUAAGUACGGACCUCCAGAACGAAUUAAGUACUUAACCCAAGGUACCACUGUAGUUGGGGAGAGGGUGCGCUGUGGGGAGGGUCCCAAGGGGUCUGGAGGGCCACUUUAGCCCCCUACUCUGAGCUUCCCCACCCUUGGCUUAGUGGGUAGCUGGGCACAUUGAAAAGCACAGUACUGGUGAGGUGAAAGAUCUUAAUUAGGUAGGUAAAAAGGUAAAGGGACCCCUGACCAUUAGGUCCAGUCGUGGCCGACUCUGGGGUUGCGGUGCUCAUCUCGUUUUAUUGGCCGAGGGAGCCAGCGUACAGCUACCGGGUCAUGUGGCCAGCAUGACUAAGCCGCUUCUGGCGAACCAGAGCAGAGCACGGGCAUCGGGAGGGGGGGAGGGUUGGAGACUGACUUGGAAGAAGGGAUCCGUCACCUGGGGGCAGUGGCGUUGCGUGGGGGGUGCAGGGGGGGCCGGCCGCACCGGGCGCAACAUCUGGGGGGAGCCGCUCGCACUCGCAGCUCUCUGCCCCUACCUGGCUCACUCACUCUCUCUCACUGCAGUGCUGGCUGUGCGAAUCCGAUCCGAGCCGCUGGGUCGCCGCCCACUGUGGUGGGGGUGGGGGCCAGGCGUGCGGUGCGGAGAGAGAGCGAGGGACUAUCUGGGGGAGGGACAGUGCAGCGGCCGCCCAGCGCAGCGCUGAGCGCGGGAGAGAACCACACCAGACCAGACCAGGCAGCAGCAAGAAGAAGCUGGCAGCGGCGGCAGGUUAGAGGUUAGGGGGCGCAAAUUACGUGCCUUGCCCCGGGUUAGGGGGCGCAAAUUACUUGCCUUGCCCCGGGUGCUGACAACCCACGCUAUGCCGCUGCCUGGGGGAGCCUGUCACAGCCAGGAGAUGAGAGGCAGAGGCAGGAGAAGAAAAGGUGUAAGAGGAGGGAGAGAUGGGUCAAGCUGGUGUGGAAUCAAUGGCUUCCCUGCCUCUUCCUCCAGCCAAAACCUCCCCUGCUCCACUGUCUCCCAGGACCAGGAGAGGACUGAAGCAGGGGGAGCAGAAGCAGGGGUACAUGUGGGCAUAGUCCUCGCCUACAACUCAGGUGGGGGAGAUAUAAAAGUUGAGGUCAGGGGCCUCUCGGAUGCAGAGACGGCCUCAUUAGAUGCCCACACAAGAGUAGCUGAAAGCUGUGGAAAUGAUGGGCAUGCCUUUUCCUAACUUGUAAGCGUGCCUUUGACAAUCAAGAGUGAAUUCCUGGCAUACAAAAGAUGAACAGGUCAAAUCUGUAAUGAUACACUGGGCAAAGGAUCUGGGACAUAAUAUUCAGAUGACAGACCGGGAAAGGUUAUGAAAACAGAUUUGAAAUUUGCACACUGAAAGCAAAUUGUAUGAAAAUGAUGUACCGGUGGUAUUUGACUCCUAGUAAAUUAGCAAAAAGGUAUAGAACAAGUACCAAGACCUGCUGGAAAUGUAAAGAAAACGAAGGUACCUUUUAUCACAUGUGGUGGUCAUGUAAGGUAAUAAAAGCUUUCUGGGAGAUGAUAUAUAAUGAAAUGAAGAAAGUGUUUAAAAUAACUUUUGUUAAAAAAAACAGAAGCUUUUCUAUUAGAAAUUAUAGAUUCAGACGUUCCGAAGGAUCAAAAGAGACUUGUUAUGUAUGCGACGAUAGCCGCACGGAUGUUACUAGCCCAGGGAUGGGAAGAAGAAAGAGUCCCUACCAGAGAAGAAUGGCAAGCUAAGCUGAUGGACUACACCAAAAUGGCAAAGAUGACUGGAAAACUCAGGAACCAAGAGGACAAAAACUUUUUAAAAGGAU